UACGAAGGGGGGCUAGCGUUGCUCGGAAUCACUGGGCGUAAAGGGUGCGUAGGCGGGUCUUUAAGUCAGGGGUGAAAUCCUGGAGCUCAACUCCAGAACUGCCUUUGAUACUGAGGAUCUUGAGUUCGGGAGAGGUGAGUGGAACUGCGAGUGUAGAGGUGAAAUUCGUAGAUAUUCGCAAGAACACCAGUGGCGAAGGCGGCUCACUGGCCCGAUACUGACGCUGAGGCACGAAAAGCGUGGGGAGCAAACAGGG
rnacentral:rRNA from 1 species